CAUUAAGAAGCUAAACUAGCGUUAACCUUUUAAGUUAAAGACUGAGAACUAUGCACUCUCCUUAAUGA
rnacentral:tRNA from 1 species